GGCGCGGUAGCAAAGUGGGAAUGCUCCGGUCUGCAAAACCGGUACGAGUGGGUUCGACUCCCACCCGCGCCUCAA
rnacentral:tRNA from 1 species